rnacentral:misc_RNA from 1 species
GUUUAACCAACUUGAGAAUUUUGUAUAUUGAUUGGCAAUGCUCACAGUUUUAUUUUUUUUUAUUAAGGCUAUAAGUCUCAUUUUACAUUUUAUUGAUUCACAACUGAGUUUCUCACAUCUUUUCUAGAAGUUCCAAUUCCAAGUAAUUUUUUUGUGUUCCUAUUUUCUAAUUUGAUAUUGGAGGUCUUCUUUCAAUUGAUCAUCUUGUGAAGGGUGGUCUGAUGUAAAUGGGAGGCCAAUUCUUUUUUAUUUUCCCUGGACCUAAUGGGUUCAUUGGUUGCUUGUUUUUGUUGGGACUAUCUAUUUUCUUUUAAUUUUCAGAAGUGGUUCAAAGAGUGAGGUGGUUCCCAUUCUUUGGAAGUAGUCUUAGUAUAGAAAGAGGCAUUCUAAGUUGUCUCAAAGUAAUGUUUCUCCCAACAUAGUUUCUGGAUGCUAUGAUCACAUCAUUUCAAUUUUCAAUUUCUUGUUACUGACAAGUUAUUCCUUUCUAUAUAUGUUCAUGUAACCUAUAGAAGUUA